rnacentral:misc_RNA from 1 species
AGUACAUGUAACCUAAUCAUAUUACACAUACAUAUUUGCAUAUUUCCCCACCCUUUUAACAAUUUCCUUUUACUGGGUAAACAUGUUGGGUGCUAACCGAAAAAACAAAUCAUACAAGAGCUGGACUCAAACCAGAUGAUGGUUCCAAACUGGCUGCGUAGUCUCGAGCCCACAAAUCGUAAUGUAUAAUUUCCUCCAGCGAUGGAGAAGACACCAACUCUUCCCGGUGCUUCGCGCAUGUUAACUCCACAAUCUUGAAAAUAUCCAAGUAGCUAAUUCUCUCACUAAUAAAUAAUUCCACUGCCUUCUCAUUUGCUGCACUUAGAACUCCA